CGGAGGAUCCAAGCGUUAUCCGGAAUCAUUGGGUUUAAAGGGUCCGUAGGCGGUUUAGUAAGUCAGUGGUGAAAGCCCAUCGCUCAACGGUGGAACGGCCAUUGAUACUGCUAGACUUGAAUUACUAGGAAGUAACUAGAAUAUGUAGUGUAGCGGUGAAAUGCUUAGGGAUUACAUGGAAUACCAAUUGCGAAGGCAGGUUACUACUAGUGUAUUGACGCUGAUGGACGAAAGCGUGGGUAGCGAACAGGAUUAGAUACCCUGGUAGUCCACGCCGUAAACGAUGGAUACUAGCUGUUGGGAGCAAUUUCAGUGGCUAAGCGAAAGUGAUAAGUAUCCCACCUGGGGAGUACGGGCGCAAGCCUG
rnacentral:rRNA from 1 species